UAGGGAAUCUUCGGCAAUGGACGAAAGUCUGACCGAGCAACGCCGCGUGAGUGAAGAAGGUUUUCGGAUCGUAAAACUCUGUUGGUAGAGAAGAACGUUGGUGAGAGUGGAAAGCUCAUCAAGUGACGGUAACUACCCAGAAAGGGACGGCUAACUACGUGCCAGCAGCCGCGGUAAUACGUAGGUCCCGAGCGUUGUCCGGAUUUAUUGGGCGUAAAGCGAGCGCAGGUGGUUU
rnacentral:rRNA from 1 species